rnacentral:rRNA from 1 species
GUGUCAGCAGCCGCGGUAAUACAGAGGUCCCAAGCGUUGUUCGGAUUCACUGGGCGUAAAGGGUGCGUAGGCGGUCGGGUAAGUCUGAUGUGAAAUCUCGGAGCUCAACUCCGAAACGGCAUUGGAUACUAUUCGGCUCGAGGUUGGGAGGGGGGACUGGAAUUCUCGGUGUAGCAGUGAAAUGCGUAGAUAUCGAGAGGAACACCAGUGGCGAAGGCGAGUCCCUGGACCAAUCCUGACGCUGAGGCACGAAAGCCAGGGGAGCAAACGGGAUUAGAUACCCGCGUAGUCC